rnacentral:rRNA from 1 species
GGUGAACGCUAGCGGCAGGCCUAAUACAUGCAAGUCGAACGGUGUCUUCGGACAUAGUGGCGCACGGGUGCGUAACACGUAUGCAACCUACCUUACAUUGGGGGAUAGCCUUUCGAAAGGGAGAUUAAUACCGCAUAAGACAGUAGCUGGGCAUCCAGUAGCUGUUAAAGAUUUAUCGAUGUAAGCUGGGCAUGCGUCCAAUUAGCUAGUUGGUGAGGUAACGGCUCACCAAGGCAAUGAUUGGUAGGGGAACUGAGAGGUCAAUCCCCCACACUGGCACUGAGAUACGGGCCAGACUCCUACGGGAGGCAGCAGUAGGGAAUAUUGGGCAAUGGACGCAAGUCUGACCCAGCCAUGCCGCGUGCAGGAUGAAGGCGUUAUGCGUUGUAAACUGCUUUUAUACAGGAAGAAACGACUCUUGCGAGAGGCAUUGACGGUACUGUAUGAAUAAGCACCGGCUAACUCCGUGCCAGCAGCCGCCGUAAUAC